GUGUAACCUUAGCCAACGUUAACUAGCCCCGUUCUCCACCAAGCUAACGUUAUAUGCAUCUACACUGCUAACGUUAUGCUAACUUUAACUAGCCGGCUGCAAGCAAGGCAGUUCAGAAAAUAAAAUGGUUCACACUGGGCUGUAUUGUGGGUCAAACGAGUAAAUAUUAGCUGGCUAGAUUGGAUAAAAAUGUGUUUUUUAGUGUAACUAACGUUUAACGUAAACAAACGCGAACAUAAAGCUAUCAGAGUAUAAACAACACCUUGUUUAUCAAUGACUAACUUGGCUUAAGCUAGAUGAAAUAACAUCACAGUACUGCGUUAUAGUAACAUAACAUAUACUGUAUUGCUCGUUCGUUGGCGUGGUUAGCUUGCUUGCUCCCUUACUUUACCUAGUUGUACACAGGAAACGGACAGCUGGCUGGCUAACGAGAAAUAACACUUGACCUCAUCCAUAUUCCCCUGAGCCUGGAUGUGGGAGCCAUGAAUCAUCAUGAUCAUAUGACAGAACAACAAGCACAGAUCAUCACUGAAGACACAGAUGAGAUGCACCUGUCUCAGCUCCUUAUCUAUCAUGACACCCCAGGAGGCUUGCUGGUGUGGAGGAGAUGGUCGCUGUACAGAGGACGCUCCAGGGGGAGGUAUCAUAGUAAGCUUUGAAUCACAAAGUUUGAUUAUUCUGUUUUUGACUAUUUUGUGAUCAAUACAUUAAGCUUUGAAAUCAUGUGAUUUUAUAUGACAAUUUCAACAAUUAUUAUUAUAAUAUUCAUUAUGUAGUGAAAUAUGUCAUUAAAAUACUUUCAAAUUAAGGUUUACAUGAAUGUAUUUAGUUAUAAUGUAUUUUAAAAAUGUUCACCUCCUGGGCUCAGUCUGCACAAUACAAGGUUUCAGCUGUCCUAAAGUUAAGUACAUUUCCAAGAAGAAAUCCUAUAACAUUAUUUGCAACAAUCACCUUUCUUCUUUCUUAGGAAGAAACAUAGGAAAAACUUAACAUUUCCAAUAACUUCAUGGAGGAAUAGCAACUUUGCUUAACCUUCUUCUUAAGUCUAUAGUUAAGGAAAGAAUUGAAGAAUUUUCCUCUUAAGAAGGUUUUAUGAAUCUGGCCCCCGGUCCCCACAAGAAUAGUUUAACACGUACACACACACACACACACACACACACACACACACACACACACACACACACACACAUACGCACGCGCACGCACGCGCACGCACGCACUCUCACACACACACACACACACACACACACACACACACACACACACACACACACACACACACACACACACACACACACACACAC